GGGAGCGUAGCUUAGUUGGUAGAGCGUCUGCUUUGCAAGCAGGAAGUCACCUGUUCGAAUCAGGUCGUUUCC
rnacentral:tRNA from 2 species